rnacentral:rRNA from 1 species
GAAUAUUGCACAAUGGGCGAAAGCCUGAUGCAGCAACGCCGCGUGAGCGAAGAAGGCCUUUGGGUCGUAAAGCUCUGUCCUAGGGGAAGAAAAAAAUGACGGUACCCUUGGAGGAAGCCCCGGCUAACUACGUGCCAGCAGCCGCGGUAAUACGUAGGGGGCAAGCGUUAGCCGGAAUUAUUGGGCGUAAAGAGUGCGUAGGUGGUUUUGUAAGCGCGGGGUGAAAGGCAAUAGCUCAACUAUUGUAAGCCUUGCGAACUGUGAGACUUGAGUGCAGGAGAGGAAAGUGGAAUUCCUAGUGUAGCGGUGAAAUGCGUAGAUAUUAGGAGGAACACCAGUGGCGAAGGCGACUUUCUGGACUGUAACUGACACUGAGGCACGAAAGCGUGGGGAGCAAACAGG